GGGUCGUUAGCUCAGUUGGUAGAGCACCGGGCUUUUAACCCGUUGGUCGUGAGUUCGAGCCUCACACGACCCACCA
rnacentral:tRNA from 1 species